rnacentral:rRNA from 1 species
UGGUGGAGUGAUUUGUCUGGUUAAUUCCGUUAACGAACGAGACCUCGACCUGCUAAAUAGUCUCGCGAAUGAUUUUAUUCGCAGAUGACUUCUUAGAGGGACUAUUGUGCAUUUAGCCAAUGGAAGUUCGAGGCAAUAACA